GAUGAACGCUGGCGGCGUGCCUAAUACAUGCAAGUCGAGCGAACGGACGAGAAGCUUGCUUCUCUGAUGUUAGCGGCGGACGGGUGAGUAACACGUGGAUAACCUACCUAUAAGACUGGGAUAACUUCGGGAAACCGUAGCUAAUACCGGAUAAUAUUUUGAACCGCAUGGUUCAAAAGUGAAAGACGGUCUUGCUGUCACUUAUAGAUGGAUCCGCGCUGCAUUAGCUAGUUGGUAAGGUAACGGCUUACCAAGGCAACGAUGCAUAGCCGACCUGAGAGGGUGAUCGGCCACACUGGAACUGAGACACGGUCCAGACUCCUACGGGAGGCAGCAGUAGGGAAUCUUCCGCAAUGGACGAAAGCCUGACGGAGCAACGCCGCGUGAGUGAUGAAGGUCUUCGGAUCGUAAAACUCUGUUAUUAGGGAAGAACACAUGUGUAAGUAACUGUGCACAUCUUGACGGUACCUAAUCAGAAAGCCACGGCUAACUACGUG
rnacentral:rRNA from 1 species